UACGUAGGGUGCAAGCGUUGUCCGGAAUUAUUGGGCGUAAAGAGCUCGUAGGCGGUCUGUCACGUCGGCUGUGAAAACUCGGGGCUCAACCCCGAGCCUGCAGUCGAUACGGGCAGACUAGAGUGCUGUAGGGGAGACUGGAAUUCCUGGUGUAGCGGUGAAAUGCGCAGAUAUCAGGAGGAACACCGGUGGCGAAGGCGGGUCUCUGGGCAGUGAACUGACGCUGAGGAGCGAAAGCGUGGGGAGCGAACAGGAAUUAGACUACCCGAGUAAGUCCAGAGCCAAGUCCUACGUGCUGACCGAUAAC
rnacentral:rRNA from 1 species